AUUGAACGCUGGCGGAAUGCUUUACACAUGCAAGUCGAACGCGUGUAGCAAUACACGAGUGGCGCACGGGUGAGUAACGCGUGGAUAUCUGCCUUUUGGUUCGGAAUAACCCCGGGAAACUGGGGCUAAUACCGGAUGGUUCCUUCGGGAUAAAGAUUUAUCGCCAAAAGAUGAGUCCGCGUACGAUUAGCUAGUUGGUGAGGUAAUGGCUCACCAAGGCGACGAUCGUUAGCUGGUCUGAGAGGACGAUCAGCCACACUGGGACUGAGACACGGCCCAGACUCCUACGGGAGGCAGCAGUGGGGAAUAUUGGACAAUGGGGGCAACCCUGAUCCAGCCAUGCCGCGUGAGUGAUGAAGGCCUUCGGGUUGUAAAGCUCUUUUGGCGGGGACGAUGAUGACGGUACCCGCAGAAUAAGCCCCGGCUAACUUCGUGCCAGCAGCCGCAGUAA
rnacentral:rRNA from 1 species